UUUUCCAGUUUAAAUGCAUUAUGGGACAGCUAAAUGAGAAAUUAUGCUUCUCUAAAGACUGCUUUCUGUUUACUUGUUAUUUGCAAUUUUUUUUCAAACUUUUGAUUGUUGUUGUGAGCAGAUUUUCAUAAUUGGGUAUUAUUACUAAGGAGAUAAUUUUUGCAAGCAGAUUUCUUAAGCCUCAGGUUCCCAGAACAUUGGUGGUUCGGUGCUCCCUAUUGGCCACACAACAAAGUACCUAGUCUGACAAUUUCUUUCUCAUCUAUUUAAGCUUACCUAAUCAUAUACUGCGAGAGGAGAAUACGUGAUUCUGAUCCAUGUUUAACAAUGAGGAUGGACUCGGCUAGUCCUCUAACAUUCUUCCAUCCCGAUUUUUCUCUCUAAAGGAAUCAGAGGAAACUAAAUCCAUUUUAAAAUUCAUAAGGCAUGUUAAUGGUUCACUGGCUGAUCUCAUUCAUUAUCUUUCACCCAGCAUUUGUCGAACUAGACUCGAAGUUGUAGUUUCACAUAUUCUGGCCAAAGAGAUGCAGCAAUUAAGCUGGAAGUUAGCUGUGUUCUAAAUGGUCUCAACCAUGCAGGAAGGAGUUAUAGGGUACCGAUAUAAUGGACUUUUGAAAGAACUUUUUCUUCCGAACAGCUGAGAACUUGCGAAAAGUUGAUCAGGGUGUCUCAAGCCAGUGUAUUUCUCAAGUCUCAGGUUCCCAGAACGUUGGUGGUUUGGUGUUCAUUUUCUGUUGGCCACAACAAGGUACCGGAGUGCACCAAUCAUUUAGUCGUUUAUUUAAGCUUAUCUAACCAUAUACCAAGAGAGGAUAAUAUGUGAUUCUGAUCCAUGUGUGAGGUACUUUUGACUCAGAUGUUCAUCUAAGAGAUGUUAAUCAGCCGGCUAAUAUAUAAACUUUUUACUUUUUUUCCCUCAAAACAUAAUUAAAAAUAAAUCUCCUUGUCCAGUUUAGAUGAAGUUUGAGCCUGUUUUUACUAAUUUAUGAACCUUGCGCACUGCAAGUCUUUAAAUUUUUUUUUUUUUGAAAGGUUUGAUUAACU